AGGGCAUACGGUGGAUGCCUAGGCACUAAGAGCCGAAGAAGGACGCGGUAAGCUGCGAAAAGCUACGACGAGCUGCAAGCAAGCAUAGACUCGUAGAUAUCCGAAUGGGAAAACCCGUAUGGAGUAAUAUCCAUACAUGCUAUGCUGAAACAAUAGGUAUAGUAAGGCAACCCGGGGAACUGAAACAUCUAAGUACCCGGAGGAAGAGAAAGAAAACUCGAUUCCCCCAGUAGCGGCGAGCGAAGAGGGAAAAGCCCAAACCAGCUUUUCGGAGUUGGGGUUAUAGGACUCUCAGGAUUGAUGGAUGCUUAGUCGAAUGGUCUGGGAAGGCCAAUCGUAGAAGGUAAGAAUCCUGUAGGCGAAAAGCAGAAAGAGAGGAGAGUAUCCUGAGUACCACGAGGCACGUGAAAUCUAGUGGGAAAUUGGGGGGACCACCCCCUAAGGCUAAAUACUCCUUAGUGACCGAUAGAGAACAAGUACCGUGAGGGAAAGGUGAAAAGAACCCCGGGAGGGGAGUGAAAAGAACCUGAAACCGUGUGCUUACAAGCUGUCACAGCACAAUAGUAGUGUGGUGGCGUACUUUUUGUAGAACGGACCUGCGAGUUGCGUUAUGAAGCGAGGUUAAGGCGGGAAGCCGGAGCCGAAGCGAAAGCGAGUCUGAAGAGGGCGAAAGUUUCAUGACGCAGACCCGAAACCGGGUGAUCUACCCAUGAGCAGGAUGAAGCGUUAGUAAAAUAACGUGGAGGUCCGAACCAGGCAUCGUUGAAAAGAUGUUGGAUGACUUGUGGGUAGGGGAGAAAUUCCAAUCGAACUCAGAGAUAGCUGGUUCUCCUCGAAAUAGCUUUAGGGCUAGCCUUAUUGUGGAGUUUUAUGGAGGUAGAGCACUGAAUGGACUAGGGGGCUUCACCGCCUACCGAAUCUUAUCAAACUGCGAAUGCCAUAAAAUGAUAAAUAGGAGUCAGACUGUGGGGGAUAAGCUUCAUGGUCAAAAGGGAAACAGCCCAGACCGCCAGUUAAGGUCCCAAAAUAAUGAUUAAGUGGAAAACGAUGUGAAAUCGCUCAGACAACCAGGAUGUUGGCUCAGAAGCAGCCACCAUUUAAAGAGUGCGUAAUAGCUCACUGGUCCAGGGGUUUUGCGCGGAAAAUGUAACGGGGCUCAAAUCAUUUACCGAAGCUGCGGAAUAUUGCAGAAGCAAUAUUGGUAGAGGAGCGUUCUUAACACGGAGAAGGCAUACCGGAAGGAGUGCUGGAGGGUUAAGAAGUGAGAAUGCAGGUAUAAGUAUGCGAAAAGGCAGGUGAGAAUCCUGCCCGCCGAAAAUCUAAGGAUUCCUGGGGAAGGCUCGUCCGCCCAGGGUAAGUCGGGACCUAAGGCGAGGCCGAAAGGCGUAGUCGAUGGGAAACUGGUAGAUAUUCCAGUACCACCGCUAAUUGCAUGAGAGAAGUAGUGACGCAGAAGGAUAGGCAGAGCGCCCAGUUGGUGAGGCGUUUAAGUAAGUAGGGUGUGAGAUAGGCAAAUCCGUCUCACGGGAAACCUGAGAUACGAAUACGAGGGAAAAUAAGUACCGAAGUCGCUGAUUCCCGGCUGCCAAGAAAAGCUGCUAUCGAGAUUAGAGGUGCCCGUACCGCAAACCGACACAGGUAGAUGGGGUGAGAAACCUAAGGCGCGCGAGAAAACUCUUGUUAAGGAACUCGGCAAAAUGAACCCGUAACUUCGGGAGAAGGGUUGCUUAUCAUGGUGAAGGAUAAACAUCUGGAGCUGAGAUAAGUCGCAGAGAAAAGGUCCAGGCGACUGUUUAGCAAAAACACAGGUCAUUGCAAAAGUGAAAGCUGAAGUAUAAUGGCUGACGCCUGCCCGGUGCUGGAAGGUUAAGGGGAAGAGUGAGAGCUUUGAACCGAAGCCCCAGUAAACGGCGGCCGUAACUAUAACGGUCCUAAGGUAGCGAAAUUCCUUGUCGGGUAAGUUCCGACCCGCACGAAAGGCGUAACGAUCUGGACGCUGUCUCAACAAGGGACUCGGCGAAAUUGAAAUACCGGUAAAGAUGCCGGUUACCUGCGAUAGGACAGAAAGACCCCAUGGAGCUUUACUGUAGCCUGAUAUUGGGUU
rnacentral:rRNA from 1 species